UGACUUUAGAACUUUGUU
rnacentral:snRNA from 1 species